UACAGACUGUGCACAUGGCUAACAGUUUGUGAUCAUCUGUUUCAGAUCACCAUGGAAGACCCCCUGUGAAUCCAGCCAUGUCUCUUGUCUCUACUCAGUAUUGUACUGAACUGCUUGUUAGGAGAUUAGUAUAAAUCUCUUUUAGCUUGGUUACCAAUAACGUGUGCUAUGGAGAUAUCGUUCUCCAAAUACCUCCCAAAGGAAUGGCUAGUCUCACUUUCUUCAACUUUCCUUAGCUGCAAGGUGUUGCCAAGAUCAUCAGGAGGGCUGUACAGGGGCUGCGCUCUUCUCUGCCUGAUGCUCCACACAUCUAUCUGCAAGUUGUGAUGUGCUUCUGCAUUACGUGUAAGGAAACCCUUUCAGGAAAGAAGAAUGGAAUAACUCUGUCCAGGAGGAAUUAUUGCCUCUUCAAGUUGUUAUUUCAGCAAAACCAUGUCUUUUGUCUAUCUGACAAAAAGCACUUGAGAGAACUUGGGAACUUCAGAUUUCUUCCAAGUGCUCCAGCACCAUCAGUCUUAUGCACACUGUUCUGAGCACCUUGUCACCGGCCAAGAGGAGAGAGGAUGUACAUGUUUCAAAAAUGCCACUGUGAAAAAGCACCAAGCAGAAAUCCCUCCCCAAUGGAGACUAUGAGAAUAAGGUUGCAGCCCAAAAAUGCCAAGGAAAAAUCCUUCCUUGUGGUUAGCCUGUAACACUGUGGAAAACUUUUAAAUAAAAGUGGUCUCACGUCCUGUGUGGUUCAGAACAAAUUAACUAAUUCUAUUAAUGAAUUUAAUUUGUUAUCAUUGUUUCUUAGAAUCCAUUAAGGGGACCCAAGAUCUGAGAAGCUGCAACCACGACAGCCUGACGACCAAUAAAGGUAGAACAGUUGGGCUAAGAAUCUCAUUUAAGAUCCCCAGCCACCAAAAUGUUUUCAAAAAAUACUCAAUUGUCUGGGGUUGUGCCUGGAAUAGUUAUGGAUUAGGUUCACAUACGAUUCUUUUUCAUGGUGGAGUACUUUUUUUUUUUUUUUCCAGUUUGUUUAAUUGCACUUCUUAUUGCUGCUAUGUAUUUGUUAAUGUCUCUACUAUAGACAUGUAUGAGAACUACAAGAGUUAGUAACCAGCCUGGACAGUCUGUUUUACUGCAGCUAGUUAUGGGGAUUUCCCUCAAGACCCAUUGUUUACAUACAGUUACUUUUACUUAAAACCGAUUAAAUAAUUAAAACAAAUCCCUUGUGUGCCCGGGAUAGUAAUCUGUCUGAAGCAGUAUUUAAGCAGUUUUCUAUAACAGCUUUUUUUUUUUGUUUGUUUGUCUUUUUUUAAGGCAUGAAAUGCAAUUUAGAUGAUCUGCAUUAAUAAAAAUAGAUUUAUGCAGAAAACCUCAUCAACAUGCAUGUAUAUACAUCUUGGUGUCAUGGAAUAGGAGAAAUCCCAGUUUUAUGUAUCCAAAUGCUGCUUUAAACCUGAUUUAUUUAUUUUUCUUCCAUGAGUUUUGAAUGCAGCUGUGAUCCUGCUGUCUCUGCCUCUGGCCCAGAGCCACUGUGUUCGUGUCUGGUGACGUGGGGAGUUGUCUUUGACCUUUCUUCUACGUAGAGUUGAAGGACUACCAUGGGUUAGUGCUGUUGAUAACAAACGUAGAGAUGGGGGAAGCAUUGUGUGGGUGCUGGGCUGUGACUUGGGAGCAAAGCUCAGUGGUCAUGCCUGGGGGAGGACCCCACUUCUGUGACAGGCUCUGGCUUCACCAGCUGGGAUCUGACACCACUGCUUUUUACCCAGGCUGAAGAUCCAGAUCAGCAGCUCGAGUUCUUGCAGAACACGUGUUAGCUUUUCAAAAUGUACUGCUUGCUGAGUAGCCAGAGACGCACAGAAUUUAUAGGGAGCUUUCAACUUUAUUUAUGACAAAACAAACCUUCACCGGGAAGUACGAAUAACAUAGGGCUGCCAUCCUAUGUUUCCUGCUAAUGCAUUUUAUGUGCUCUUGCUCUGCUCUCUCUCUCACUGAUGCUGUCUCUCAUUUUCAGCCUGUAGCUUUAAUAAUCUAUGCCACAUCCUUCUGUACAAUAUUCCUCCUGCAGCUUUCAUUUGACAGCUCUGUUUUUAAUAGAGGAUAAGCAUGAAACUCCAGCAGAAUCUGAAGACAUAUUUCUAAUCUCAUACAGCAUUUAUUUUGCUACUCGGAAAGCUCACUAUCUUGAACAAAGGAAAAAGUAUUUUUCACAUAUUGAGAUGUACAGUAGGUUUUCAUAGGUAUAAUUAAUUCAAAUUCCAACUCAAAGUUACCCUGUAGUAAGAA